CCAUGACACAGUCUAAAGCCACUUCUAGAAAGAGAAGGCAUGAGCCACUAAAGAUUAAGCAGUUAGAUCAGAAGAAGGGACUUGGAAAGGCCUGGAUGACCUAGCAAUACAACCUCAAACAACAUCACUAUGGAAUGGAGAAAAUGUAUCAAGAGUAUUGUCCCACAGGUCAACGGCUACAUUUUUAUUCUUGAUCCCAGUGCAGUACAGAAUGGCAACAUAUUACAGGAAUCAGUUACCACAGAAACUGUGAUCUGUAAAUGGCCCAGGUGGAAUAUGACAGAAAAUAACUUGCAAACCCUGAGUUGACUUGUAGAACAUGCGAGGAGACGCCAUGGAGAUGAGAAGAAGAACCAUGGUCCUGAGAGGACACCAGGAUGGAGUUACUGGCUGAAGGAAAGAGAGGGCACUCCAUAUGGCUACGGGAAGUUAUGGAGGAAAACAAAGGCCAGGAAACACUGGAUUCUACCAGCUCUCUACUAGCCAACCUGAAGGCAUCCUUCUGCCUCAACCUCCUCUGUCUUCUUUUGUUACAACCUUCUUGAUGUGUAAGCCAAAAAGAAUGUCUCUUUUCGAACACAAAAUUCAUAACCUCUGUUUCACCAACCAAAACCACAACUCACAUCUCAUCCAC